UACGGAGGAUGCGAGCGUUAUCCGGAUUUAUUGGGUUUAAAGGGUGCGUAGGCGGUUUAGCAAGUCAGAAGUGAAAGCCCGGGGCUCAACUCCGGGACUGCUUUUGAAACUGUUGAACUAGAUUGCAGGAGAGGUAAGUGGAAUUCCUAGUGUAGCGGUGAAAUGCGUAGAUAUUAGGAGGAACACCAGCGGCGAAGGCGGCUUACUGGACCGUGACUGACGUUGAGGCUCGAAAGCGUGGGGAGCAAACAGG
rnacentral:rRNA from 1 species